UCUGAAAUGUUAGAUUUACAUAUUUAUCUUAUAUCAAAAAUGUACUUGGUGAAUAUAUAGCUACUAAUAAGGUAACUUGUACGGAUAACGCCAUAUCAAAUGACAACAGACACUGUGAUCAGCUGAUCCCACUGUGAAAGGAGACGUGAGGGGCUCUGAUGCCACAUGAAGACCCGCGGGUGCCGGCGUCUCCAACAGCUAAGGUGCUGAAGCACACAGGCCUCUGCAUUGGCCCUCAGUGUGAGCUCACAGCAGGACUUUUGGACUGACAGCAGAAAGACGACCAUCUGAGAUGUUCUAGUCACUUCAAAACGUCAGAGGAUGAAACCAUACUCUCCAGCACACUUACCGUGGAACCAAUCAAUCAUCCUGACUCUAAACCAGGAACAGGUGAUGAAGACAAGCCAAAACAAUCUGCACUUAAGACAAUCCAUGAGCUCCUGAGGGGCGGCUGGGGGUCGACGUCAACACUCUGGACCAAAGGCUGGCGAUCCUUCGCCCCUCCCAGAGAAACAGGACAUACGAGCUGCAGGCCUGAUGUUUGUUGAGAUAAUACAGCUCAAAUCCCACAGGCGGAUCUCGAACCACAUCCUCAAGUUUACUAUUAUUAUUCGUGAAUGGCAUUACUAAAUGAAGUGCACAAUAGGUGGCUUUUAUUUCCCCUUAUGAGUCAAAUUUGAACUGAUUCAAAAAUAUACAGUGUGGUCAGAUAAUGUCUAAAAGUAUGGCUUUCGUGAGUUAUGAGUCUGUUCUGAUUCCUCAAAAAUAAUUCUUGAGUCAUUUACAU